UGUAAAUCUGUUGAUUUCACUCCCCAGAUGUGACAAGAUUUACACGUUAGACGUCUGUUAAUUUAUGCACAGCCAUGUUGUGACACCUAAUCCCCUUGAUAUAACAAAACCAACGAUAUAACAAGAACAACGAUUGGUGGUUCAAAGUUCGGCAGAAUAAGAGUCGAUAGGCCUACACACAAUCUCUCGAGAAAGGCGUCUAAUAGAUAUAUUUCAAAAUAUUUGAUCUGGUUGGUAUAUAGAUUUCUCACUAUGUCACGGUUUCUAGAUAUCACGUUACUGGUCUUAGUGGUAACUGUGACGUCAUUGUACGCCGAUGAUAUGUGGGCGAGAUUUAUGCAAGAACACGAUUUGAAUAAAGAUGGUUUCAUAAAAGGCGAGGCUGAAUUCGCCAAUCUACGUAACUUCUUCCAUCAAGAGAAAAUACCGGAAGCGAAAGUAGAGGAAGUUCUGCGCAAUGGUGAUGAAAAUGGUGACAUGGCUAUAGACCCAGAAGAAUACAAAGAUAUUCGACUUGAAAUGCUAAACACUGACCAUAUCGAGGCAGCUGAACUUAUUUCCAUUUAGAUGAUCUUAUGAUCAGUCAUAAAAAAUAAAGAUGGAAAAUUGUU